UUUAGUUGUUCUUUCUUAUACUUUUGCCAAGUGGAUCAAUGAUCUCAACCAGCAAAUAAGCUAGACAAUGCAAUCACUUGAAUAACUAUUAGUUUUGUUUCUCAUAAUACCAGCCAGUCAAUAUUUACAAUUACAUGUUGGGACUGCUUAUUUGUCUACAGUUUUACAAGCUUACUCCCCGUCUGCAUCAAAAAACCCUGCAUCUUUCAUCUCUGAGUAAUAUGCGCUGUCCAGAAGCCAAUCUUCCUCCUUGAAAAAAUCAGCCAGGAACGUCACGUAAAGAAAUGGAAGAUAAAGCGAGUGAUAACAAACUACAGUCAAAUUAUACAACCAAAGUCCAAAGCCACCCCUAAUGCCUGCAAGCCCACAGGCAAAUAACAUUACAGCACUUGUCACAAACAUGACGAUGACGUAAUUGUAAAAGGCUGGACGUGGAGGCAGCUUAUCUCUCCACUUUGAGAAAUGCACAAACAAUAUGUAGCCAUAAGCUGCAGUAAGAAGAAGCUUGUUGGUGCUCCAGACACGCCACUUCCCCCUAUCAGCUAUUUCCAUGUCAAGGAAAAGUGGAAUACCAAGUCCAAAUAUAUAAAUUGCCUUUAAUAGUAAAUCCACGCCAACAAAAAGGCCUGAAACCAUGAAAGUACGUGAUAAAGUUUCCAAACAGCUCGCAUAAUUCUCCUUAAGUAAGAAUGCCACUAUGCUAAUCUCCAGAAAUAGCAUUGCAGACGUUGCAAACAACGAUAAAAGAUUCCAAGCCACCUGCUUCCCUGGAGUGCACUGCCAUGCCUGAAGAAAGCACCAACAAAGGUUUAAAAGAACAGCAAACCACAAAAGUCCAUAGUAUCCAAUCAUUACAAAAGACCGACGAUGACUGAGCUUCUUAAUGUUGCUCCUAGCAUGAAACCCUAAGUACAGUACGAACAAAACCGAUGGUAAUACCAGUAUCACAUCGUGCCAGAACCCAUGGCACGCAGUUGCUGAGCUGGACAACCGGAAUAUGAAGUCAUCUCUACCGGCAGUUCCGGUUCCGGUUCGGGCCGGACCUGCUUCGGUGGGAGAUGAAGCUUCAGUAAUGGAAAAUGCUCCACUAAAAUUUGUCAUUCUUCGCAGAAUAGAAAAUCAAAGGCAUUGAAAACUUGUGGAUGAGAUCAUCGGAACCCUAGGUCCGACGUGAAAUGGAAGCAAUCGGAGGAGGGUAGAUCGAACUUCGAAGGAGAAGUUGCGUUGGUCGAUGG
rnacentral:misc_RNA from 1 species